ACUAAUGAAAAAUGUAGCGGGUUUCCUCUCUAAGACAUUUUGUAAUAACCAGUUCAUUAAUCAAUGUGCUCUAGUGAUGUUGUUAAAGAAAACAAACUGGUAUCUUGGAGAAAUUUCAAAACAUCAGAAUUUCUCCUACUAAAUAUCUUUUCUUGUUUGCUUAAAAUGAACACCCCAACAGUUGUUUGAAUUGUUCGGGUGGGUUUUUUUUAGGUUUUUUUUACUGGGGUCUCAUUAAACAUUCAUUCAUUCAUGAUUGCACUCAAUACAAUUUAACACCACAAAUUAACACUACAAAUCAACUUGCAUUAAUAUGAUGUCAUAUAUUACCAGUGACAUAAUACUCCCCAUGUGAAACCAAUGAUGUUAUUGCCCAUGCGAGACCGAUUUAUUCCAUAAGGGCUGAAGUUGUGGAAUGGGUCGGUCUUGCAUAGCUAGGGAUGGGAGAAAAUAAGAUGUGGAAUGUUUUUAAAUCCACACACAAUUCUUUUUACAUUACAUUGUUGGAGACUGGUUUUUAUUUAAAUAUGUGUGUGUAAUAUUGUUAAUAUUUAUCACAGCCCUAUUUACUGAUUUACAAUUUCAUGUUUUUUGACAUAAACAUUUUUCUUACUCACUUUAAUUUCUCCUUACUCGAUAUUAUCAUUUAAUUUAUUAUUUUGUGUUUGUAUACUGAGCAAAUAGAGCAUGUUUUGUGAACUUAAAGUAGUGGAUAAAUGCAUAAAUAGAUAAAUGUAAAAAAAAAAAUGUACGUGUGUUUGUACAUGUACAAUAUCGCAUACAGUAUUACAUGCAUGUUACUUACACAUUUUCACAUUUACCUUAGUUUGACACCUAGUAACAAAUGAAAUGUAUUUUUCAUGCUUGGGCAUUCAUUUAUUCAUUAAUUUAGGACAAAGUCAAUUUUAAUAUUUACUGUACCUGUUAUAUUGUUUUUCACAGGUCUGUAAUUUAUGUUCUGAAUUUUUAUAUUGAUAUCAAUCAUCUAUUCAUUCAUAUAGUUACUGUAAGGCUUUGUUAUAGCAUGUGUGUAUUUUUCAUGCUAGAGUUUCAAUUCAUUAGGGGAAUCGGAAUGUGUUUAAAAUGGUCGGACUAAAAGAUCACCUGUGGAUGAUCUAAACUUGAUACAAUCCACUGAGACAGUAGCAACAUUCACCAAGUCCUCAAUGAUCUAAACUCGUGAUACAAUCCACUGAGACAGGCUGGCAACAUUCAUCAAGUUCUCAAUGAUAUCUUGGCACUUUCUGGCAUAAUUAUUGCAACAUAUUUUCUCCAGAAAAUGCAUCAACAAGACUGAUCAUUAAAUUGUUUGUGGAGUUGUGAAUGGAUUUUCCACUCUUGAGGAAAGAGCCAUAAAUGAUCGCUUAUUGAUCAUUACACCAGAUCUGUUUGUGGGUUGUCUGAACAAUUGGAAAAAGUCUAUAUGGUUAUGUGUGUCACCAGAUUCACCGGAAGAAACCAGACUGUUAAAUAUAGGAUGUGAAUAGUGUGACAAUAUUGUCACAUUUUAAUAUAAUGUGAUUUUAAAACCACAGAUUUAAAACAUUUAAGAAAUAACACAUUUCUAUCAGUUUUAAGACUCAUGUAAUGUGUAUUUAAGACAUCUGUAAUAUAUGUAUUUAUCAUCAUCAUACAUAGCCCAUGUAUUUAUCAUCAUACAUAGCCCAUGUAUUUUUCGUGCUGGGGUGUCGUUAAACAUCUAUUCUAUUCUAUUGUUCAUAAAUACUCUUCUUCUUUUUUGGUAACUACCAGUAUAUAUGUCUGAUCAGCUUUUUACACCUAUAUAUAUAUAGAGAUUAUUAUACGAGCUUGUGUGUCGUACUGUUUUUAUGAAACAAGUGUCAGGAUUAUCUCGCUCGGGUAAUACAUGAAUCCUGACACAAGUUUCGUAAAAUCAGUAUG